GGGGCGGCGCCGGAGCUGGAGAGCCGGGCCUGACUGUAAAUCAGGUGUUUCGACUGAGGGGGUUCGAAUCCCUCUCGCCCCACCA
rnacentral:tRNA from 1 species